AGAACGAACGCUGGCGGCAUGCCUAAUACAUGCAAGUCGAACGAACACUUCGGUGUUAGUGGCGCACGGGUGCGUAACGCGUGGGAAUCUGCCCUUGGGUUCGGAAUAACAGUUGGAAACGACUGCUAAUACCGGAUGAUAUCGAAAGAUCAAAGAUUUAUCGCCCAGGGAUGAGCCCGCGUAGGAUUAGCUAGUUGGUGAGGUAAAGGCUCACCAAGGCGACGAUCCUUAGCUGGUCUGAGAGGAUGAUCAGCCACACUGGGACUGAGACACGGCCCAGACUCCUACGGGAGGCAGCAGUAGGGAAUAUUGGACAAUGGGGGCAACCCUGAUCCAGCAAUGCCGCGUGAGUGAUGAAGCCUUAGGUUGUAAAGCUCUUUUACCCGAGAUGAUAAUGACAGUAUCGGAGAAUAAGCUCGGCUAACUCGUGCCAGCAGCCGAC
rnacentral:rRNA from 1 species